GGUUAAGCGACUAAGCGUACACGGUGGAUGCCCUGGCAGUCAGAGGCGAUGAAGGACGUGCUAAUCUGCGAUAAGCGUCGGUAAGGUGAUAUGAACCGUUAUAACCGGCGAUUUCCGAAUGGGGAAACCCAGUGUGUUUCGACACACUAUCAUUAACUGAAUCCAUAGGUUAAUGAGGCGAACCGGGGAACUGAAACAUCUAAGUACCCCGAGGAAAAGAAAUCAACCGAGAUUCCCCCAGUAGCGGCGAGCGAACGGGGAGCAGCCCAGAGCCUGAAUCAGUAUGUGUGUUAGUGGAAGCGUCUGGAAAGGCGCGCGAUACAGGGUGACAGCCCCGUACACAAAAAUGCACAUGCUGUGAGCUCGAUGAGUAGGGCGGGACACGUGGUAUCCUGUCUGAAUAUGGGGGGACCAUCCUCCAAGGCUAAAUACUCCUGACUGACCGAUAGUGAACCAGUACCGUGAGGGAAAGGCGAAAAGAACCCCGGCGAGGGGAGUGAAAAAGAACCUGAAACCGUGUACGUACAAGCAGUGGGAGCACGCUUAGGCGUGUGACUGCGUACCUUUUGUAUAAUGGGUCAGCGACUUAUAUUCUGUAGCAAGGUUAACCGAAUAGGGGAGCCGAAGGGAAACCGAGUCUUAACUGGGCGUUAAGUUGCAGGGUAUAGACCCGAAACCCGGUGAUCUAGCCAUGGGCAGGUUGAAGGUUGGGUAACACUAACUGGAGGACCGAACCGACUAAUGUUGAAAAAUUAGCGGAUGACUUGUGGCUGGGGGUGAAAGGCCAAUCAAACCGGGAGAUAGCUGGUUCUCCCCGAAAGCUAUUUAGGUAGCGCCUCGUGAAUUCAUCUCCGGGGGUAGAGCACUGUUUCGGCAAGGGGGUCAUCCCGACUUACCAACCCGAUGCAAACUGCGAAUACCGGAGAAUGUUAUCACGGGAGACACACGGCGGGUGCUAACGUCCGUCGUGAAGAGGGAAACAACCCAGACCGCCAGCUAAGGUCCCAAAGUCAUGGUUAAGUGGGAAACGAUGUGGGAAGGCCCAGACAGCCAGGAUGUUGGCUUAGAAGCAGCCAUCAUUUAAAGAAAGCGUAAUAGCUCACUGGUCGAGUCGGCCUGCGCGGAAGAUGUAACGGGGCUAAACCAUGCACCGAAGCUGCGGCAGCGACACUAUGUGUUGUUGGGUAGGGGAGCGUUCUGUAAGCCUGUGAAGGUGUGCUGUGAGGCAUGCUGGAGGUAUCAGAAGUGCGAAUGCUGACAUAAGUAACGAUAAAGCGGGUGAAAAGCCCGCUCGCCGGAAGACCAAGGGUUCCUGUCCAACGUUAAUCGGGGCAGGGUGAGUCGACCCCUAAGGCGAGGCCGAAAGGCGUAGUCGAUGGGAAACAGGUUAAUAUUCCUGUACUUGGUGUUACUGCGAAGGGGGGACGGAGAAGGCUAUGUUGGCCGGGCGACGGUUGUCCCGGUUUAAGCGUGUAGGCUGGUUUUCCAGGCAAAUCCGGAAAAUCAAGGCUGAGGCGUGAUGACGAGGCACUACGGUGCUGAAGCAACAAAUGCCCUGCUUCCAGGAAAAGCCUCUAAGCAUCAGGUAACAUCAAAUCGUACCCCAAACCGACACAGGUGGUCAGGUAGAGAAUACCAAGGCGCUUGAGAGAACUCGGGUGAAGGAACUAGGCAAAAUGGUGCCGUAACUUCGGGAGAAGGCACGCUGAUAUGUAGGUGAAGUCCCUUGCGGAUGGAGCUGAAAUCAGUCGAAGAUACCAGCUGGCUGCAACUGUUUAUUAAAAACACAGCACUGUGCAAACACGAAAGUGGACGUAUACGGUGUGACGCCUGCCCGGUGCCGGAAGGUUAAUUGAUGGGGUCAGCGCAAGCGAAGCUCUUGAUCGAAGCCCCGGUAAACGGCGGCCGUAACUAUAACGGUCCUAAGGUAGCGAAAUUCCUUGUCGGGUAAGUUCCGACCUGCACGAAUGGCGUAAUGAUGGCCGGGCUGUCUCCACCCGAGACUCAGUGAAAUUGAACUCGCUGUGAAGAUGCAGUGUACCCGCGGCAAGACGGAAAGACCCCGUGAACCUUUACUAUAGCUUGACACUGAACAUUGAGCCUUGAUGUGUAGGAUAGGUGGGAGGCUUUGAAGUGUGGACGCCAGUCUGCAUGGAGCCGACCUUGAAAUACCACCCUUUAAUGUUUGAUGUUCUAACGUUGACCCGUAAUCCGGGUUGCGGACAGUGUCUGGUGGGUAGUUUGACUGGGGCGGUCUCCUCCUAAAGAGUAACGGAGGAGCACGAAGGUUGGCUAAUCCUGGUCGGACAUCAGGAGGUUAGUGCAAUGGCAUAAGCCAGCUUGACUGCGAGCGUGACGGCGCGAGCAGGUGCGAAAGCAGGUCAUAGUGAUCCGGUGGUUCUGAAUGGAAGGGCCAUCGCUCAACGGAUAAAAGGUACUCCGGGGAUAACAGGCUGAUACCGCCCAAGAGUUCAUAUCGACGGCGGUGUUUGGCACCUCGAUGUCGGCUCAUCACAUCCUGGGGCUGAAGUAGGUCCCAAGGGUAUGGCUGUUCGCCAUUUAAAGUGGUACGCGAGCUGGGUUUAGAACGUCGUGAGACAGUUCGGUCCCUAUCUGCCGUGGGCGCUGGAGAACUGAGGGGGCUGCUCCUAGUACGAGAGGACCGGAGUGGACGCAUCACUGGUGUUCGGGUUGUCAUGCCAAUGGCACUGCCCGGUAGCUAAAUGCGGAAGAGAUAAGUGCUGAAAGCAUCUAAGCACGAAACUUGCCCCGAGAUGAGUUCUCCCUGACUCCUUGAGAGUCCUGAAGGAACGUUGAAGACGACGACGUUGAUAGGCCGGGUGUGUAAGCGCAGCGAUGCGUUGAGCUAACCGGUACUAAUGAACCGUGAGGCUUAACCUU
rnacentral:rRNA from 1 species